rnacentral:rRNA from 1 species
UACGUAGGGUGCAAGCGUUAAUCGGAAUUACUGGGCGUAAAGCGUGCGCAGGCGGUUUUGUAAGUCUGACGUGAAAUCCCCGGGCUUAACCUGGGAAUUGCGUUGGAGACUGCAAGGCUGGAGUCUGGCAGAGGGGGGUAGAAUUCCACGUGUAGCAGUGAAAUGCGUAGAGAUGUGGAGGAACACCGAUGGCGAAGGCAGCCCCCUGGGUCAAGACUGACGCUCAUGCACGAAAGCGUGGGGAGCAAACAGGG